rnacentral:rRNA from 1 species
GAAAUUUAAUUUUUAUUAAGUUUAUUAGUUAAUUUUAAUUUUUAAAAAAAGAAUUUUUAAAUUUUAUUAUAUUUUAGAAAAAUUUUUAUUUAUUAUAGUUUAUAGUAUUGUAUAAGAAAUAAUUGUUUUAUUUAAAAGAAAAAUUUAAAUUUUGUACCUUGUGUAUCAGGGUUAAUUUAAAUAAUUUUUUUAUUUAAGUAUUCUCGAAUUUAAAAGAGUUAAUUAGAAAUAUAUUUUAUUGUGAAAUAAAUAUUUAAAAUUUUUAAUUAGAAAUGAAACGUUAUUCGUUUUUAAAUAUAUCUAGUUUUUAAAGAAAUAAAUUUAAUUUAAUUAUUAAUAAAUAAAAUUUUAAUUAAUUAAUUUUUUAUUUAUUAAUAUUAAAUUUUUAUAGGGAUAAGCUUAUAAAAAAAAAGUUAUAAUAAAAUAAUUAUUAAAAUAAAUUGUAAGAUUAAGAAUUUCUAUAAGUAAAAAAUUGUUAUAAUUAAUUAUUUUAAAAAUAAAAUUUUUAUUUUAUUUAAUUUUUAUAUUUAAAUAUAAGUUUUAAUAUAGAAUAUUUAGUAAUAAUGAUUAAAUUAGUAUAAAAUUAUGUUAAGUAAAAUUUAAAGUUAAGGUUAAGUUAAGGAAUUCGGCAAAUUUAUUUUUCACCUGUUUAUUAAAAACAUGUCCUUUUGAUUAUAAUUUAAGGUCUGGUCUGCCCACUGAGUAGUUAAAUGGCCGCGGUAUUUUGACCGUGCAAAGGUAGCAUAAUAAUUAGUUUCUUAAUUAGGAGCUGGAAUGAAAGAUUUGAUGAGAAAAUAGCUGUCUCGAUUUGAAUUAAUUAGAAUUUUAUUUUUAAGUAAAAAAGCUUAAAUAUUAUUAAAAGACGAGAAGACCCUAUAGAGUUUUAUAAAAAAUUUUUAUAGAAAUUUUUAUUUAAUUUUUUUUAUAAUUUUUUUUUAUUUUGUUGAGGUGAUAGAAAAAUUUAAAUAACUUUUUUUUUAUUAUAACACUU